rnacentral:tRNA from 1 species
UACUCGGCUUUUACCGAUCGGUUCCGGGUUCGAAUCCCGGGCAACCCA